rnacentral:misc_RNA from 1 species
UCCGGUUUGGCACCGGCAGUCUUCCUAGAGUCCCCGCCAUUACGCGCUGGCAACUAAGAACAUAAUCCACUGCUUGUGCGGCUCCCCGUCAAUUCCUUUAUGUUUUAGUCUUGCGACCGUACUCCACAGGCGGGAUACUUAACGCGUUAGCUUCGCUACGGAAGGGGUCGAUACCCCCCACAGCUAGUAUCCAUCGUUUACGGCGUGGACUA